UUGCUUAACAAACAGAGAAACAGAUGCUCGAUGACAUUUCCUCUAUAUUAGCCCAAGCACUUUUCAGCGGCAUCAAACUGACCUAGCCAGGCACCUUCAUCUGAAUGAAACUCUGCAAAGGGAUGAAAUCAAGAGUGAUGUUCGGUAUUCUGUUCCUGCUCUCUGUGUUCCUUAUCCAAGGAUCUAAGGGGAUAGGAUUAUCCCAUUGUCAUGGGUGUGCGGAAAAACUGAGAGAAAGGCGCGAAAGACAGGUCUGCCUAACAGCGCGACGGCUGGAUUGUGAACAGAUGCUGCGAGAUGGAGAGACCAAGAACCAAAUGACUAGCGACUUGGGGUUACAAAUAAAAGGAGACGUUGAUUAAAAACAUAGUGCAUAACAAUGUAACUGUGAAAUGAACUACAGCUCGAUUGUUUUUGUAACUUGAACCUCAUUGUCGUUUUACCCAAAUUAAACGAGCCCUUAACGAU